rnacentral:rRNA from 1 species
GACAGAGGGUGCAAACGUUGUUCGGAAUUACUGGGCGUAAAGCGUGUGUAGGCGGCUUUGCAAGUCACUUGUGAAAUCUCCGGGCUUAACCCGGAGCGGCCAAGUGAUACUGUCGUGCUAGAGUGCGGAAGGGGCUACUGGAAUUCUCGGUGUAGCGGUGAAAUGCGUAGAUAUCGAGAGGAACACCUGCGGCGAAGGCGGGUAGCUGGGCCGACACUGACGCUGAGGCGCGAAAGCCAGGGGAGCGAACGGG